AUCGAACGCUGGCGGCAGGCCUAACACAUGCAAGUCGAGCGAGCGGCGGACGGGUGCGUAAUGUAUGGGAACUGCCCGAUAGAGGGGGAUAACUACUGGAAACGGUAGCUAAUACCGCAUACUAUCGGAUAACCCAUAGGGGAUUAGCUAGUAGGUGAGGUAAUGGCUCACCUAGGCGACGAUCCCUAGCUGGUCUGAGAGGAUGAUCAGCCACACUGGGACUGAGACACGGCCCAGACUCCUACGGAGGCAGCAGUGGGGAAUAUUGGGCAAUGGGCGAAAGUCUGAUGCAGCAAUGCCGCGUGUGUGAAGAAGGCCCUAGGGUUGUAAAGUACUUUCAGUCGGGAGGCGUUACCUAAAGAAGAAGCACCGGCUAACUACGUGCCAGCAGCCGCGGUAAUAC
rnacentral:rRNA from 1 species